CCUACGGUGGGCUGCAGUGAGGAAUAUUGGACAAUGGGCGCGAGCCUGAACCAGCCAAGUAGCGUGAAGGAUGACUGCCCUACGGGUUGUAAACUUCUUUUAUAAAGGAAUAAAGUGAGGCACGUGAGCCUUUUUGUAUGUAUUUUAUGAAUAAGGAUCGGCUAACUCCGUGCCAGCAGCCGCGGUAAUACGGAGGUACCGAGCGUUAGCCGGAUUUAUUGGGUUUAAAGGGAGCGUAGAUGGGUUGUUAAGUCAGUUGUGAAAGUUUGCGGCUAAACCGUAAAAUUGCAAUUGAUACUGGCAGUCUUGAGUACAGUUGAGGUAGGCGGAAUUCGUGGUGUAGCGGUGAAAUGCUUAGAUAUCACGAAGAACUCCGAUUGCGAAGGCAGCUUACUAAACUGCCACUGACAUUGAUGCUCGAAAGUGUGGGUAUCAAACAGGAUUAGAUACCAUUGUAGUC
rnacentral:rRNA from 1 species